rnacentral:rRNA from 1 species
GACGAACGCUGGCGGCGUGCUUAACACAUGCAAGUCGAACGGAAAGGCCCUGCUUUUGUGGGGUGCUCGAGUGGCGAACGGGUGAGUAACACGUGAGUAACCUGCCCUUGACUUUGGGAUAACUUCAGGAAACUGGGGCUAAUACCGGAUAGGAGCUCCUGCUGCAUGGUGGGGGUUGGAAAGUUUCGGCGGUUGGGGAUGGACUCGCGGCUUAUCAGCUUGUUGGUGGGGUAGUGGCUUACCAAGGCUUUGACGGGUAGCCGGCCUGAGAGGGUGACCGGCCACAUUGGGACUGAGGUACGGCCCAGACUCCUACGGGCGGCAGCAGGGGGGAAUAUUGCAGAAUGGGCGGAAGCCUGAGGCAGCAACGCCGCGUGCGGGAUGACGGCCUACGGGUUGUAAACCGCUUUCGCCUGUGACGAAGCGUGCGUGACGGUAAUGGGUAAAGAAGCACCGGCUAACUACGUG